UACAGAGGGGGCAAGCGUUGUUCGGAAUUACUGGGCGUAAAGGGCGCGUAGGCGGCCUUCUAAGUCGAACGUGAAAUCCCCGGGCUCAACCCGGGAACUGCGUCCGAUACUGGAAGGCUUGAAUCCGGGAGAGGGAUGCGGAGUUCCAGGUGUAGCGGUGAAAUGCGUAGAUAUCUGGAGGAACACCGGUGGCGAAGGCGGCAUCCUGGACCGGCAUUGACGCUGAGGAGCGAAAGCUAGGGGAGCAAACGGG
rnacentral:rRNA from 1 species